CCCUAUGGGGUGCAGCAGGCGCGAAACCUUUACAAUGCACGAAAGUGUGAUAAGGGGAUUCUGAGUGCUCAUGCAAUGCAUGGGCUUUUGCCAUGGGUAAAUACCUUGGCGGAUAAGUGGUGGGCAAGACUGGUGCCAGCCGCCGCGGUAACACCAGCGCCACGAGUGGGAAUCACAUUUAUUGGGCCUAAAGCGUCCGUAGCCGGUCUAUUAAAUCCUUUGUGAAAUUGUCAAGCUCAACUUGACAGCGUGCAGAGGAGACUGGUAGACUAGGGACCGGGAGGCGUCAGAGGUAUUCCUUGGGGAGCGGUAAAAUGUUAUAAUCCUUGGAAGACCACCUGUGGCGAAGGCGUCUGACGAGAACGGAUCCGACGGUGAGGGACGAAAGCCAGGGGAGCGAUCCGGAUUAGAUACCCGAGUAGUCCUGGCCGUAAACUCUGCGAGUUAGGUGUUGCACAUUCUUCGGGAAUGUGCAGUAUCGUAGCGAAGGCGUUAAACUCGCCGCCUGGGGAGUACGGUCGCAAGGCUGAAACUUAAAGGAAUUGGCGGGGGAGCACUACAAGGGGUGCGGCGUGCGGUUUAAUUGAAUUCAACGCCGGAAAUCUCACCAAGAGCGACGGCAGGAUGAAGGUCAGAUUAAAGGUCUUACCUGACACGCCGAGAGGAAGUGCAUGGCC
rnacentral:rRNA from 1 species